rnacentral:rRNA from 1 species
UACAGAGGUCUCGAGCGUUAGGCGGAAUCACUGGGCUUAAAGCGUGUGUAGGCGGAUGCCUCAGUACCUUGUGAAAUCCCACGGCUUAACCGUGGAACUGCUUGGUAUACUGGGUGUCUUGAGCCACUCAGGGGGCGAGCGGAACAAAUGGUGGAGCGGUGAAAUGCGUAGGAGAUCCGGAGGAACACCAAAGGCGAAGGCAGUGUCCUGGGGAGUACCUGACGCUCAGGUGCGAAAGCCAGGGGAGCGGAACGGG